CGAGCCCUCGUUUCUCACUGCCUCACUUCCAGUCCACGACCCUAUCUCAUUUCAGUUUCUCUCUCUUCCUUUCGCUCUCUCUUUCUUCACUGGCCUCUCAGUUUUCUCUUCGUCAUCGACAAUUCGAGAUCGCCAAGGAGACCGCCAAGGACUGGGUUAAGCUCACCGUCCAAAACCGUCAGGCCAAGGUCUCAGUGGUCCCCUCUACCGCCUCUUUGGGAUCUGCGUUUUGCUUGGAGCCGGAUCGCGACCGCAAAAUGUCAACUGCUUCAGAUUCGUUUUCUCUACCUUCUUCCUUCACACAUCUCUCAGCCGGAGCUUCCUCCUUUCCCUCCAGAUCCAGUUAUGAUUAGAUCUUUUGUAAAGAUCCAAUAUUGGGGCCGCUAAGUUUGUGAAGGAGAUGGGGCUCAAUUAUCGAGCUGCACUUAGCAAUAUCACCAAUUUCAAAAGAGAGGCUUUUGGAAAGCAUGCUUCUCAGUUCUCACUUUCUCAGUCAAUACUAGAAGACUCUCUCUUUCAGAGAAGACGCAAGUUGAUUGAAGGUUGGAUGGCCAAACCAAUAUGGAAGCAGGCGGACCCUCGAUAUGUUAGUACCAAUAUAUCUCAGUUGUGAUUUAUGAUGACAGUCAGAUCUUCUAGUUGCAGCAGCCAGGACUGGAAAGAUUGUCAAUAUAUUAAGAAGGGUCAAUUCUGUGCUCCUUCUGUCAUGGUAAAUUCUGCUGAGAAGAUUCGACUGGCAGGAAAUCCAAAUGUGAUGGUUUGUGAGAGGGGAACUAUGUUUGGUUAUAAUGAUUUAAUUGUUGAUCCGCGUAAUUUGGAGUGGAUCAGAGAAGCUAAUUGUCCUGUUUUACUAUUCUAUGUAUGGACAUUUCAAGAAGCUGGAUGAAGAGAUUAAAAGGGGAGCUGCAUCUUUGGAAGUAGAAGCCCAACUAUCUCAGGUUUGCAAUUGUCGAUCACUUCAUAUUAUGGAAUUGAUAUACGAUAAAUCAAGAAGCUGCAUAAACUAUUUAGAAUUUGUGCUACAAGUAUUUUUCACUUUUGACCUUGAUUAUGAUGACUUCCUUAUGUCAGUUACUUGUAGUGUUGCUGGAAAGUCACUGGACUUUACUAUGUUUUGGUAUGCUAAUGACUAAUUCUGCAGGGGUGGUCAUUUUCACAUGAUCCAUUGCACAAAUGAAGGUUAUAUUUACAAUUUUUUUUUUGAAAUAUUGUUCCCUUUUAUUUAUCUGUUGUCAUUAACAAUGGAACACACUUCUU